rnacentral:rRNA from 1 species
UACAGAGGGUGCGAGCGUCAAUCGGAAUUACUGGGCGUAAAGCGCGCGUAGGCGGCUUUGCAAGUCGGGUGUGAAAUCCCCAGGCUUAACCUGGGAACUGCAUUCGAGACUGCAUUGCUAGAGUAUGGGAGAGGGAAGUGGAAUUUCCGGUGUAGCGGUGAAAUGCGUAGAUAUCGGAAGGAACAUCAGUGGCGAAAGCGACUUCCUGGACCAAUACUGACGCUCAUGUGCGAAAGCGUGGGGAGCAAACAGGAU